UACGGGGGGGGCAAGCGUUGUUCGGAAUUACUGGGCGUAAAGGGCUCGUAGGUGGCCAACUAAGUCAGACGUGAAAUCCCUCGGCUUAACCGGGGAACUGCGUCUGAUACUGGAUGGCUAGAGGUUGGGAGAGGGAUGCGGAACUCAGGGUGGAGCGGUGAAAUGCGUAGAUAUCUGGAGGAACACCGGUGGCGAAGGCGGCAUCCUGGACCGGCAUUGACGCUGAGGAGCGAAAGCCAGGGGAGCAAACGGG
rnacentral:rRNA from 1 species